rfam:Bacillus lehensis G1, complete genome.
UGAUUCCUGAAAUGUUCGUACGGGUUUUAUUCUUUGAGCCAACACCUUAAAAAAGGGAGCUCGUCGUUACAGUUUUGCUUACAUGCCUCGGAAGCUGAGGACGUAAAAGAAACGGUACAGAGCACCCACCUGCCUGGCAGGUUCAAAGCAUUAACUACCUACGGCAUGAUCGGGAUCAC